rnacentral:rRNA from 1 species
CCGCGGGAUUAGAGUUUGAUCCUGGCUCAGGGCGAACGCUGGCGGCACGCCUCAUACAUGCAAGUCGAGCGAUCGGUGGCUGGGUGCUUGCACUCGGCCAUACGGAGCGGCGAACGGGUGAGUAACACGUGGGCAAUCUGCCCCCGGGACGGGGAUAACGGCGGGAAACUGCCGCUAAUACCCGAUAUCCCCCUUGGAUCUCCUGAUCCGAGGGAGAAAUGGUUCUUCCGCCUGGGGAGGAGCCCGCGGCCUAUCAGCUUGUUGGUGGGGUAAUGGCCUACCAAGGCAAUGACGGGUAGCCGGCCUGAGAGGGCGUUCGGCCACACCGGGACUGAGACACGGCCCGGACUCCUACGGGAGGCAGCAGUAGGGAAUCUUGCACAAUGGGCGCAAGCCUGAUGCAGCGAUGCCGCGUGAGGGAUGAAGGCCUUCGGGUUGUAAACCUCUUUCGACAGGGAAGAAGCCACGGGUCACCGUGGUGACGGUACCUGUAGAAGAAGCCCCGGCUAACUACGUGCCAGCAGCCGCGGUAAAACGUAGGGGGCAAGCGUUGCCCGGAUUUACUGGGCGUAAAGCGGGUGUAGGCGGUCCUCUAAGUCAGAUGUGAAAUCCUACGGCUCAACCGUGGAACUGCAUCUGAUACUGGAGGACUUGAGGACGGUAGAGGUCGGUGGAAUUCCCGGUGUACCGGUGAAAUGGGCAGAUAUCGGGAGGAACACCAGUGGCGAAGGCGGCCGACUGGGCCGAUCCUGACGCUGAGACCCGAAAUAAAGGGUAGCGAACCGGAUUAGAUACCCGGGUAGUCCUGGCCGUAAACGGUGCGAACUAGGUGUGGGGGACCUUUGGUCUUCCGUGCCGAAGCUAACGCA